rnacentral:rRNA from 1 species
UGGGGAAUAUUGUACAAUGGGCGCAAGCCUGAUCCAGCCAUGCCGCGUGUGUGAAGAAGGCCUUUUGGUUGUAAAGCACUUUAAGCGAGGAGGAGGCUACUUGGAUUAAUACUCUAAGAUAGUGGACGUUACUCGCAGAAUAAGCACCGGCUAACUCUGUGCCAGCAGCCGCGGUAAUACAGAGGGUGCGAGCGUUAAUCGGAUUUACUGGGCGUAAAGCUUGCGUAGGCGGCUUCUUAAGUCGGAUGUGAAUUCCCUGAGCUUAACUUAGGAAUUGCAUUCGAUACUGGGAAGCUAGAGUAUGGGAGAGGAUGGUAGAAUUCCAGGUGUAGCGGUGAAAUGCGUAGAGAUCUGGAGGAAUACCGAUGGCGAAGGCAGCCAUCUGGCCUAAUACUGACGCUGAGGUACGAAAGCAUGGGGAGCAAACAGG